UCCCUGAUGGUCUAGUGGUUAUGAUUUGGUCCUCUCACCGCCAUAGCCCAGGUUCAAUUCCUGUUCAGGGAU